UACAACUUUCAACAACGGAUCUCUUGGCUCUCGCAUCGAUGAAGAACGCAGCGAAAUGCGAUAAGUAAUGUGAAUUGCAGAAUUCAGUGAAUCAUCGAAUCUUUGAACGCACCUUGCGCCCCUUGGUAUUCAGGGGCAUGCCUGUUUGAGUGUC
rnacentral:rRNA from 1 species